GCGCGGGCGCGCGCCCCGCUCCCACCCCGCGCCGCGGCCGCGGGCCCGGCCCCUCUCCACCCGCCGCCUCACCCCUUGUGGCCGCCAGUGGCCUUCGCUUUGCGCCUCCGCGUGCCUUCGAGCCCCCGGCGGGCCGAGGCGGCCCUCGGGGAAUCCGGCCCCCGGUCAGUGCUCCCCUCGCGUCCGGCCCGCGAGGCUUCUCGGUCGGCCUGGGCCACCCCACCGCCCCGCGAGCGGCGUCCUUCUCGUCCUGCACGCGCCGCCUGGGCCCGCCCGGGGAGGAGGGCCCCGUGGGGCCGGGGCGGGCGAGGAGGGAGGACGGAGAUGCGCCCCGGGCCCGGAGCGUGGUGGACCUAGGGAGUGACAGGCCCGGUGGGCGCCCUGGGGGAAGAGGCCAGUCUGCUGCCCACACCCUGAGCCCACUGAAGCUGGAAGACCGCCAGGCCUGGAGCGCUCUGAACAGUUUAGGUCCUCUGUGCAUGAGAAGCCCAACGGAGUAAUAGGUGCUGAUGAGUUUCGCACCCGGAGUCUGAAGAAAAUGAGUCAUUAAAGGCAUUCAGGGACUUUGCUGUGUAGGGAGAGACUAGUUCUCACUAAUGGUAAUGGCUGAGAUUUCAGCCCUUGGGAAAAAUCAAGGACCAAGUUCCUGGUUGCGAUUGGCGAGGGCAGAGAGGUCUUUAAAGAAGAGCAAGGUUUCCUGUCGGUGGGCACAGGAGAGGAAGAGAAGAGAAAUUCACAUCUCGUCCGAAGUCUGUCGUGGGAAGGACUGGAGCAAGAUGGGUACCUAGACCCCUCAACUUAAUGUUCCACUUGCUGGCUUUGUGGAAUCAGUACUGGAAUUAAUAUUAAUCAAUGGCAAAGGGAGACCAGAACAGAGGAUGGUCCUGUGAUGGAUGGUCACAAGCUUCUCCCUGCUGUGAAGUAUCUUUCCUUCAGAAACGACUCUUUCCAUUCCUUUCAUGUAUUUGCCUUCUCUGGAAGACUCAUUAUGAGCUUCUUAGGACAGCCUUUACUUUGUAUUGGAGGCCCAGAGAAGUCAGGCAAUUUGUUCAAGCCCGCACAGCUAGUUAGGGGCAGAGCCGAGCCUAAAAUCUUGGGCCAUUUCCAAAUCCAGUGUUCGCCCUACUGUAUCACACUGUGAAACUCUUGAGUUGAUCACUGUGAGUGCUUAAUAAAUAUUAGAUUUCUAACAGCAGCCUAUUUGCUUCUGAUUGCUGACUAGUUCACUUCAAUUCAUAUUUAUUUGAACCGAAAACCACUGCCUUCUGACAGCUGGUCUAUUGUUUAUAGGAAAUGAGUUGGUGGGCGAAUUCCAGCCCUGUUGGACAGCAGAACCCAUCACAACAAAUCAAUGUCAAAAAUAGCACUUCAGGAGGAAUACAUGCCACUUAUUUAGUACCCCCAGUGGAGUAGCUCAAAGUGAUUUGAAAAUGUCUCAUUAAUCCACAUGACACCCCUGCGGGAUAAUAAUAAUAUUAUUCUAAUGUUUAAGCAUAGAAAUGUGGCAAAGCCAACAGCGUCUCUGAGCAUGUGCAGAUUUUCCUCAUAUUUCAAGUCCUCAAUAGUAGACCCUAAAUAAAACCAUCAGGUUUGCAAACACCAAGGGUGAAUCUUGGUUUGGGCUUUCUGUGUUGCUCUGGACAUAGCUUGAGUUUCUUACUGGUCACAACAGUACUAGGAGUAGCUCGCCGACGGUCUGCCAGAUGGUUAGCAGCUUCUGGAAUUAGUCCAGAAGUGUUGGAGAGUGGGGCAAGGCAGGUCUAGAAGUUACCACUAAUUACAAUGAUAGAUAAAUGAUGAAAAAGAAACCCCGCCUGCUAUGUGCAAGGCAUCGGAGUAGGGAGUUUGAAUGAGGAGCUUGCCCUCAAAGGACUUACAUGGAGUUGGAAAGACAGGAUACAAGUUUGUGAAAUCUUUACAACAGCAUUGUGCCAGAAAUGUCACAAGCUGCCCUGUGACUAUUUGGUCCCUUCUAGCCAAGCUGCUACUGGCUGUUUCUCAUUCAUACUAAACUGGUUCCUACCUCAAGGGACUUUGUACUUGUUCUUCCCUCUGCCAGAAACACUCUGCAGGUUUUCGCAUGGCUUUUCUCCAUUACUUUUGGUCUCCAUGUAAAAUAUCUUGGGGCGCCUGCGUCGCUCAGUCUGUUAAGUGUCCGACUUCAGCUCAGGUCAUGUUCUUGCGGUUUUUGGGUUCGGGCCGCGUGUCGGGCUCUGUGCAGACAGCUCAGAGCCUGGAGCCUGCUUCGGAUUCUGUGUCUCCCUCUGUCUCUGCCCCUCCCUGCUUGUGCACUCUCUCUCUCUUUCUCAAAAAUAAAUAAAAUUUAAAUAAAUAAAUAAAAAAUAAAAGAAAAUGUCUCUUCAUCAGGGAUAAUGUCCCAGACCACAACCGGCUGAUUUCAAAGAGUUCCCCUUCCUUCCCCCCCUUGGUAACUUUCUAAUCUCUUACCUGCUUUAUUUUUCCUUACUCUAUUUAUUUCUUUGAAUUUAUAUUUUCCAUUUAUUUGGUCACUUGCUUAUUGACGAUCUCCUGCACUAAAACAUAAACUCCCCAAUGGCAGGGUAUUGACUUUUUUACUUGUAUGUCACCAAAAUGUAGACUAAUGCCUGACACACAAGAGGCGCUUAAUCAGUAUGUGAUGAAUGGUGGAAAGAAAGGUGCAGAGCGAACGCACGAGGCAUAGUAAGGUCCAGUGAGUGAAUCAGUUGGCUGGUAUAGAGGGGUUAUUUUGGAGAAUUAUCUGUCCAGUUCUGGUUCUCUCUCCCAGAACCGACUAGGCUGUGCAGAUAUGCAUUAAUUUGUUUUUUAAGUGUCACUUCCUCUUUCUCUACCCUCCUGGAUGGGUCUGUCCUGAACUCUGGAAUUUUAUUCUAAACUGCCUACUUAGAUAUUCUUCCUGAUGAGACCCCAAGCUUAAUAUUUAUAGCACUGAACUCAUUAUCUUUCUCUCCAACGUUGUUCCUCUUCCUGUUUUUCAUACUUCAUGCUAGAAUCCAAAGUCAUCCCUCAAUCUCUCCUCUGCCCCCCACAUCCAGUUGGUCACUAAGUGCUUUCUCUUCUCCAUCCAAGUCCCUCUCGAGUUCUGUCCUCACCUCUUCAUUCUCACUGCCACUGUCCCAGUCCAGGCUCUCCAUUUCAUAACAAGCUCCCUGCUUCCAGUCUCUCUUCUAUGUAUUUCAUCACCAGGAAGUAGCUGAGUUAUUUCCGUAAAACAUAGAUUUGGUCACACUGCUCUCUAGUGCUGCCGUGAUGGCUGAACCCUGGUGCUGACCUGACCUUCUGGCAGCCAUCUUCUGUGUUCUUUCCACACCACUUACUGGUCCUUGGACAUGCCAGCCACCCCCUUGCACACAGCCAUGCAUCUGCUCAUGCUCUAGCUCACUGGACACCCUUUCCACCUUUUACCCACUGGCGAAUUCAGUCUUCAAGGCCCAGCUUAGAUGUCAACUCUUCUGACACCCCCACCCUCCCAGUCAGCCAUGUUUACCACCUCAAAGAAACUCAGCAAAAGUGAUUAUAAAGGAAUUCAUGAUUUUCUUUCUCAUCAGAAGUACUAUCGCAUUUUGUUCGGAGUUCCAUAAGAGGGCUUUACUGUACUAUAGUUAGUGUGUAUGUGAUGAUCUGUGUCCCUAUGAGAGUGUGAACUCCUAUUAAUAGCUAACAUAUUGAGCAGUGAACACACAGUAAUAAGUCAGGACUCUGCUAAGCACUUUAUAUGCAGUAAUCUCCAACAGCCUGUGGGUAGGCAAUAUGACUGCUGUAUCAUUCUACACCCGGACAAAUAGUGGAGGGUGGGAAAAGUCACUUCUGCAAGAUCAUACAGAAUUAGGACAUGGCAGAACCAGGAUUCGAACGAAGUCCACAUUCACAAGCCCAUCCCUAGACCGCCUUUGCGAGGGUUAGAGGGCUUGUCUCAUUCAUCUGUGUAUUUCCAGUCUCCGAUAUUGUGCAGGUAUACGAUAAAGGAUUUUUGAAUAAUAUAAUUUAAGAAGAACAAUCACGAAGCAUAAAUGCUUAUUCACUAAAAUCUGAUGGAUAGACCGUGACGAAGGUGUUAGUCCUGUACCUCAACACCAAGGCUAUAAAAUGCGCUUUCUUGAAUCUGUACCAUUUUUAAGAAGAAAGAUGCUAGACACAGGGAAGGGGUUAUUCUAGAAAUAGAUGCAGAUACAGGUUCUGCCUGGGGUUAAGAUGGCUCUCAGAAUGAACCAGCAGUCUAGUCUGUGUUCUCACAUGGCAGGGUGAUUUUCAGAAAAUAACUUCUAUUCAGAGAAGACUGGAAUUCUGUCAGAAAGUAUGGCAGCCGAAGAGAUACAAGUAUUAUGUUAGGCCAAGCAUUUAAAUAAGUCCCGUGUUUCUUCUUAAGCUUCUGGGUAGGAGAGAGUACAGACACUGAAAUACCUGCAUGGCUUUUGCUCGUUCUGGUUAAUGUAUUGAAAAAUCAGGCAGUCACACUCCUAAUCAUAGAUGAGCUGUGCAAUUAAUGAGACAAGCAGUAGAGCCCUCUGUAUGUCCCAAUUAUUUGUUGGCAGACGGGAAUCUUAACAUUUGUAGAGACAUUUGAAUGGUUUUAGAUCACUGCCAAACGUAUUAACUUUCUUCUAGCAAGAGGUCCAUUACACGUAAUACUUUCACUGUGGUUUUUCUCAAAGUGGACGUGAUGAAGAAUGCUUAUUUAUUUAUUUUUUAACGUUUUUUAAAAAUUUUUUUUGAGACAGGGAGAGACAGAGCAUGAACAGGGGAGGGUCAGAGAGAGGGAGACACAGAAUCUGAAACAGGCUCCAGGCUCUGAGCUGUCAGCACAGAGCCCGAUGCGGGGCUCGAACUCACAUACCGCGAGAUCAUGACCUGAGCCGAAGCCUGCCGCCCAACCGACUGAGCCACCCAGGCGCUCUGAAGAAUGUUUAAAAAUAUCUAGAAAACUCCUUGUGUUUCCUCACGUUCCUUGUGUGAAGUCCUUGUUGUGAGGCUAUGGGUGAACCACAAUAAAAUUAAUUUGGAGAGAUAAAAGGGGUGGUUUUAGUCACAUGACUGAGUUGAUAUUAAUGUGAACUGUUGAUCAUAAAUUGACAUGCAACUGUAAAACUUCAGCAGACAUUUACAGGAAUCUACUGAAAUAGAUCGAGGUUUUGAGCAAGGUUUUUUUUUUUUUUUUUUUUUUUUUUUUUUUGUAUUGCCAAUCUGGUGAAAACCAAAGCAUAUUUUAUUAAUCUACAGACAAAAUGUUACAGUGUGAUUACUUUGUCAUUGGUUUUGCAAUGACGUUGACAGAGCAACUCAACAUGUCUGUCGAAUGGUAUUACCAUUUUAUUGACUUUUCAUGACAAUGGUGAUGAUAUUAAUGAAAGCAUAUAAAGGCCCACGAUGAACCAAAUAAUACUGGGUACUGUAAUGACAAAAGAAUAUGAAUGCAAUUCUUUGGGGACUUCCUCAUACCUAAGAAAAUGCAAUGGAUAUAUUACUUGCUUAUAAAACGAAUGCAAAUAAAACUAAAACAUG